UACGUAGGGGGCUAGCGUUGUCCGGAAUCAUUGGGCGUAAAGAGCGUGUAGGCGGCCCGGUAAGUCCGCUGUGAAAGUCGGGGGCUCAACCCUCGAAUGCCGGUGGAUACUGUCGGGCUAGAGUGCGGAAGAGGCGAGCGGAAUUCCUGGUGUAGCGGUGAAAUGCGCAGAUAUCAGGAGGAACACCAAUUGCGAAGGCAGCUCGCUGGGACGUAACUGACGCUGAGACGCGAAAGCGUGGGGAGCAAACAGG
rnacentral:rRNA from 1 species